ACAGAAUGUGACUGCCGUGAGUGGAGUGUGACUAUGAGAUAGUUGCCUGACUGGAGACAAUGAAGCCUCAGGCCAAGGAUGCUCCCUCCUACUCAGCCCUGUUUAGUGGGAUUUUUCAGCCCACUGUAAUGCCUACUGCUGCCUGUAAAGCCACCUAAGUGCAUCACUUGCUGGUGUUCACCAUGAUAACAACAAUGUAUGGGGACAGAAUAUGUUUCUAGAGCUGCUGGUGCCACUACUGAUAAGUUACUGGGUUCCCUGAAAUAAAACACCACAGUGCAGCUGGAGUACAGUGGCUCAAUCAUGGCUCACUGCAGCCUAGACCUCCCGGCUUCAAGUGAUCCUCCUGCCUCAGUCUCUCAAGUAGCUGGGACUACAGGUGCAUGCCACCACUCC
rnacentral:antisense_RNA from 1 species